AGAUAGGUCCUAAAUGGUGAUUUAGCUAUGAACCUGGUCAGACCCGGAAGGGAGCAGCCAUAAGUAGAAAAGUUAGGUGUUUAGGUUGCUUGUUUAAG
rnacentral:SRP_RNA from 1 species